rnacentral:rRNA from 1 species
UACGUAGGGUGCAAGCGUUAAUCGGAAUUACUGGGCGUAAAGAGCGUGUAGGCGGCUUGGUAGGUCCGCUGUGAAAACUCGAGGCUCAACCUCGAGAUGUCGGCGGAAACCACUUGGCUAGAGUCCGGAAGAGGAGAGUGGAAUUCCCGGUGUAGCGGUGAAAUGCGCAGAUAUCGGGAAGAACACCUAUGGCGAAGGCAGCUCUCUGGGACGGUACUGACGCUGAGACGCGAAAGCGUGGGGAGCGAACAGG